rnacentral:rRNA from 1 species
AUGAUCAUCAGGGAUUUUAAUGAAAUUCUUAUAUCAAGUGAGAAGGAAGGUGGGAAUGUGAGACCAGAACAAUACAUGCAAAAUUUCAGAGAGUGUGUUGAGGAUUGUCAAUUUCAAGAAAUUAUGUACAUUGGAGACCCCUUCACUUGGAGCCGUGGAAUUAUUCGAGAGAGAUUGGAUCGUGGGCUAUGUAACGAUACAUGGGCCACCAAGUUUCCCUAUGUGGCGAUGGUUCAUGAGCACCAUGUGCACUCAGAUCAUAGGCCGCGUGUGCUUGAUACAAACUAUUUUGAGAAAGCCAUGACACAACAACCUAGAGGAGAACGCGGAUUUGAGGCAUACUGGCUAUAG